UCCCCUUAAUUUCCCAAUUUCAAUGCUUCUUUGCUUCCUUUGUCUGUUUGUCUCUCCUAGGAGGUUUCCCGAGAAUCAGAUUGUCCACCAUAAUUGCCAAUGGCGAGUUUUGUCCCUCCCUCCUUUCCCCGAGCAUUUGAUGUUGGGGAUCUUUGGCUCUUCGUUCCUUCCGGGUACUAUGUGCGACUCUCUCUUCUCUCUUUGCUUUGGAAAAUUUUGGUGUUCCAGGCUCCCUCAGCAACCUCGCUUGGUGGGGCGUUGGCGAUUAGCAAGGAAUAAUAAGGUUGGUCAAUGAGGAAGAAGGAAAAAAAGGAAAUGGAAGGAGAAAGAUUCAUGAGGUGAUCCUGAUAGAAAAUGAUAUAUAUAUAUAUAUAUAUAUUACUUUAGAUAAGUUCCUUAUAAUGCAUUCUUACGUAAUUGUGAGAUUCAGCUUAAAUCAAGCAUUGAUCAACUCUGAAAUAGUCUUCUUUUCCCUUCUAUUUGCUCAAUUCAUACAUAAUUAAGAAAUAUGGGAUGCGAGGCUUGUGUUAAUGCAGUGAAAAAUAACUAGCAGCCUACUGAUUGUUGGUCAUGAGGAAUUCGUAAACUUGUAGUAAACUCUGCUUAUGCCUUAUGGGUUAAUCUCCAAUAAAGUGGGUGUUUUUUUCUGA